GGAAAGGCUCUUGUUCUUGGGUGGGAAAAGACAACACAGUGCUUUCUCAAGAUCUCAAGCUCCAUACCCAGCAUGCAGCCCGAUGCGGGGCUUGAACUCAUAACCGUGAGAUGGAGGGAGACCUGAACAAGAUCAAGAGUUCUGACGCUUAACCAACUGAGUCACUCAGGCAUCCCAAAGAUAAAAGCAUGUUUCCAGUACCAUCCUAAAUAAACUUAUUGAUGAAAACAGAACUAAGGAGCAACACAGGGACUAAAAUUGACAUAUCCUGAUUUUUACAACCAGUGUGUUUUCUAUUAUCCCACAGAUGCCAACACUUGAAAAUGGUAUUUUAGGAAAGUGAGUAUGAUAUGCGGAAUGGAUUGGAUGAGGCAAGAAACCAGAAGCAAGAAGAGAACAACAGCUAUUGCUGUAAUCACUCCAAAACACCCACAAGUUACAAGAUACCACUAUUCUUUGAAGAAAUGCUAAUAACAUGGUAUCUGGAUUUUAUCAAUGGAACCUAAAAUCAAAAGUUAAAAUGGGUACUGAAAAUACAAACACAUUGUGUAAGCAUACACAGAAGUGUGUACACAAUGAAAGGGGAAAAGCAGUUCUGCUCCUCUAAGAGACAAAUCCCUUGGACCAUUUGAAGAAUCCACCUGGGGAUCCCUGGGUUGCUCAGCGUUUUGGCGCCUGCUUUCGGCCUGGGGCGUGAUCCUUGAGUCCCGGGUCGAGUCCCGUGUUGGGCUCCCUGCAUGAAGCCUGCUUCUCCCUCUGCCUGUGUCUCUGCGUCUCUCUCGCGCUCUCUCUCUCUCUCUCACGAAUAGAUAAAUAAAA